AUUCACUGUUAGCAUGUUGAUUUUAUGAAACAGGGCAGGGCCAGACCAUAAUAUGUCGACGCUGGGUGAAGUGACGCUUUCUGGAUGUUAACUCUUAUGCCAAAAAAAAAGAAAAACAAAACAUUUUCUUAGUACAGGAAUAAAAUAGCAGGGAGGAAUAAAAUAUUUCCUAAUUACUUCAGGGGCUGUCAGUCAGAGAACCUUAUAAUUUCAUUCACACCCCUUCUUUGCCAUAGGGCUACUGUGGCAACAUGUCAAAGCAGGAGACAUAAAUCCCAGAAAAGACCAGACAACCCAACUUACACAACUUCCUGCCCAGUUUCAGGGAGACAGCACCACCUCUUAGAGUUCAUGCCACGAACACAGGCAUUUGAGGUAAAACUAAGCUGCAGUGUGUUGGUGUGUUCGGACAUCUUUGGAGGGAGCAAUCAGGAUGGAGGAUGCAGCGGUGACUCAAGAGGACCCUAACAGCCUGAACAACGGCAGCGAGCAGGUGUUCCUCCUCUCCCGAGCAACUCUGAACUCCACAGGGAUUAAUCAAUACAAACCAUUUUGUUGAUUUUUCCAUUAAGAAACGAUUCAAUGAGACACAGGGUGUGGCAGUUUUAAUUUCACUAUUAGAUUUACGCAGCAUAAGUUCCGGGGAGAAAUGUGCGGUCUUGGAUUUGUCAUCUUUUAAUAGAGAUAGAUGACGAGGUGAAAGAAAUG